GACGAACGCUGGCGGCGUGCUUAACACAUGCAAGUCGAACGGCAACGCCCUGCGUUUGUGGGGUGCUCGAGUGGCGAACGGGUGAGUAACACGUGAGUAACCUGCCCUUGACUUUGGGAUAACUUCAGGAAACUGGGGCUAAUACCGGAUAGGAGCUCCUGCUGCAUGGUGGGCGUUGGAAAGUUUCGGCGGUCGGGGAUGGACUCGCGGCUUAUCAGCUUGUUGGUGGGGUAGUGGCUUACCAAGGCAUUGACGGGUAGCCGGCCUGAGAGGGUGAACGGCCACAUUGGUACUGAGAUACGGACCAGACUCCUACGGGAGGCAGCAGGGGGGAAUAUUGCACAAUGGGCGGAAGCCUGAUGCAGCAACGCCGCGUGCGGGAUGACGGCCUUCGGGUUGUAAACCGCUUUCGCCUGUGACGAAGCGUGAGUGACGGUAAUGAGUAAAGAAGCACCGGCUAACUACGUG
rnacentral:rRNA from 1 species